rnacentral:rRNA from 1 species
GGAGGAAAGUAGGGGAUCGAAAGACCUUAUGCUUUUGGAGCGGCCGAUGUCUGAUUAGCUAGUUGGUAAGGUAAUGGCUUACCAAGGCAACGAUCAGUAGUUGGUCUGAGAGGACGACCAGCCACACUGGGACCGAGACACGGCCCAGACUCCUACGGGAGGCAGCAGUGGGGAAUUUUGGACAAUGGGCGCAAGCCUGAUCCAGCAAUGCCGCGUGAGUGAAGAAGGCCUUCGGGUUGUAAAGCUCUUUCAGUUGAGAAGAAAAGAUUGUGACUAAUAAUUGCAAUUCAUGACGGUAUCAACAGAAGAAGCACCGGCUAACUACGUGCCAGCAGCCGCGGUAAUACGUAGGGUGCGAGCGUUAAUCGGAAUUACUGGGCGUAAAGGGUGCGC